rnacentral:rRNA from 1 species
GAUGAACGCUGGCGGCGUGCCUAAUACAUGCAAGUCGAGCGAACGGACGAGAAGCUUGCUUCUCUGACGUUAGCGGCGGACGGGUGAGUAACACGUGGAUAACCUACCUAUAAGACUGGGAUAACUUCGGGAAACCGGAGCUAAUACCGGAUGAUAUUUUGAACCGCAUGGUUCAAAAGUGAAAGACGGUCUUGCUGUCACUUAUAGAUGGAUCCGCGCUGCAUUAGCUAGUUGGUAAGGUAACGGCUUACCAAGGCAACGAUGCAUAGCCGACCUGAGAGGGUGAUCGGCCACACUGGAACUGAGACACGGUCCAGACUCCUACGGGAGGCAGCAGUAGGGAAUCUUCCGCAAUGGGCGAAAGCCUGACGGAGCAACGCCGCGUGAGUGAUGAAGGUCUUCGGAUCGUAAAACUCUGUUAUUAGGGAAGAACAUAUGCGUAAGUAACUGUGCACAUCUUGACGGUACCUAAUCAGAAAGCCACGGCUAACUACGUG